ACAUUGAUAGAAAUAUGGGGGGAGUUCCCAUCAGGCAAUAACGGUUCUGCCUGACCCUACUUAUGCAUGCAUAUUCUGUUAGUGAAGACUUGGUGUGAAGCCUUGGUUAGAAGAGCAAAAGGCCCGGGGCUAGGGUGAGCUGAGGGGGGACAGCGUAAGUGAGCGAAUGUGUGUAAGCCCAGUCAAACAUGACUGUUCUAGGCGGGGCG
rnacentral:lncRNA from 1 species